AAAAUGACUCUCGGCAACGGAUAUCUUGGCUCUUGCAUCGAUGAAGAACGUAGCAAAAUGCGAUACUUGGUGUGAAUUGCAGAAUCCCGUGAACCAUCGAGUCUUUGAACGCAAGUUGCGCCCGAAGCCAUUAGGUUGAGGGCACGCCUGCCUGGGUGUCACAC
rnacentral:rRNA from 2 species